rnacentral:rRNA from 1 species
GACGAACGCUGGCGGCGUGCCUAAUACAUGCAAGUCGAACGCAGUGGGGACGGGUGAUUAACACGUGGGUAACCUCCCAUCAGAUGGGAUAACACUUGGAAACAGUUGCUAAACCGAUACUGAUGGAUGGACCCGCUGUGCAUUAGCUAGUUGGUGGGGUAACGGCUCACCAAGUCCACGAUGCAUAGCCGAGCUGGGAGGGGGAUCGGAGACACUGGGACUGAGACACGGAGCAGACUCCUACGGGAGGCAGCGUUAGGGAAGCUUGGGCAAUGGACGAAAGGCUGACCGAGCAACGCCGCGUGAGUGAAGAAGGUUUUCGGAUCGUAAAACUCUGUUGUUAGAGAAGCGGUAUCUAACCAGAAAGCCACGGCUAACUACGUGCCAGCAGCCGCGGUAAUUC